GACGGGGUGCAGCAGGCGCGAAACCUUUACACUGCACGCAAGUGCGAUAAGGGGACCCCAAGUGCGAGGGCAUAUAGUCCUCGCUUUUCUCGACUGUAAGGCGGUCGAGGAAUAAGAGCUGGGCAAGACCGGUGCCAGCCGCCGCGGUAAUACCGGCAGCUCAAGUGAUGACCGAUAUUAUUGGGCCUAAAGCGUCCGUAGCCGGCCACGAAGGUUCAUCGGGAAAUCCGCCAGCUCAACUGGCGGGCGUCCGGUGAAAACCACGUGGCUUGGGACCGGAAGGCUCGAGGGGUACGUCCGGGGUAGGAGUGAAAUCCCGUAAUCCUGGACGGACCACCGAUGGCGAAAGCACCUCGAGAAGACGGAUCCGACGGUGAGGGACGAAAGCUAGGGUCUCGAACCGGAUUAGAUACCCGGGUAGUCCUAGCUGUAAACGAUGCUCGCUAGGUGUGACACAGGCUACGAGCCUGUGUUGUGCCGUAGGGAAGCCGAGAAGCGAGCCGCCUGGGAANACUCCGCAAGA
rnacentral:rRNA from 1 species